rnacentral:rRNA from 1 species
AACGAACGCUGGCGGCAUGCCUAACACAUGCAAUUCGAACGAGACCUUCGGGUCUAGUGGCGCACGUGUGCGUAACGCGUGGGAACCUGCCCUUAGGUUCGGAAUAACCCCCCGAAAGGGGUGCUAAUACCGGAUAAUGUCUUCGGACCAAAGAUUUAUCGCCUUUGGAUGGGCCCGCGUUGGAUUAGCCAGUUGGUAGGGUAAAAGCCUACCAAGGCGACGAUCCAUAGCUGGUCUGAGAGGAUGAUCAGCCACACUGGGACUGAGACACGGCCCAGACUCCUACGGGAGGCAGCAGUGGGGAAUAUUGGACAAUGGGCGAAAGCCUGAUCCAGCAAUGCCGCGUGAGUGAUGAAGGCCUUAGGGUUGUAAAGCUCUUUUACCCGGGAUGAUAAUGACAGUACCGGGAGAAUAAGCUCCGGCUAACUCCGUG